rnacentral:rRNA from 1 species
AACGAACGCUGGCGGCAUGCCUAACACAUGCAAGUCGAACGAACCCUUCGGGGUUAGUGGCGCACGGGUGCGUAACACGUGGGAAUCUGCCCUUUGCUUCGGAAUAACAGUUAGAAAUGACUGCUAAUACCGGAUGAUGUCGUAAGACCAAAGAUUUAUCGGCAAAGGAUGAGCCCGCGUAGGAUUAGGUAGUUGGUGGGGUAAAAGGCCUACCAAGCCGACGAUCCUUAGCUGGUCUGAGAGGAUGAUCAGCCACACUGGGACUGAGACACGGCCCAGACUCCUACGGGAGGCAGCAGUGGGGAAUAUUGGACAAUGGGCAAAAGCCUGAUCCAGCAAUGCCGCGUGAGUGAUGAAGGCCUUCGGGUU